UUGUCAUGUGGAAGUCAUCAUCUGGACACAAAGACAGUAAGGGGAAGAUUCGUUCUGUGAGGUACCUGCUGAAGGUGUUGAGCAGAACCCGGUGGCAUGUUUGCAAGAUUUGACUAUUAAAUUUUCAGGACUUUGUGAGCCAAUCAUUGAACAC
rnacentral:lncRNA from 1 species